UACGUAGGGUGCAAGCGUUGCCCGGAUUUACUGGGCGUAAAGGGCGCGUAGGCGGCCACCGCAAGUCGACUGUGAAAUCUCCGGGCUUAACCCGGAAAGGUCAGCCGAUACUGCGGGGCUAGAGUGCAGAAGGGGCAACUGGAAUUCUCGGUGUAGCGGUGAAAUGCGUAGAUAUCGAGAGGAACACCUGCGGCGAAGGCGGGUUGCUGGGCUGACACUGACGCUGAGGCGCGAAAGCUAGGGGAGCGAACGGG
rnacentral:rRNA from 1 species